GGCGCGCACCCGUCGGCGCCGAGCGCGCAGCCUGCUCCACCGCCGCCUCUUGGUCCCGCCGCCGCCGCUGCCGCCGCCGCCGGGCAGAGGCCGGGGACCGGAGAAAGGAGGAGCGGAGAAGGAGAAGGAGGAGAGCACGGCCUGGCUGGGACAGAAGCGGUGGGACCCUGGGAGGCCUCCGCUGUGCCCGUGCCGCGCUCCUCGGGACCAGCGCGUCGCACACAAAGGGGCUGCCGAGCCAGAGCCACCAGCGGCCUCAGGGCACCGUGGGGAGCGCGCAGCUAGGGGGCGCUGUGGCGCACCCCGCCCCGCAGCCCCGCCCCCGGCCCUCCCCGGCCCCACCCCACUCCCACCGCCCUCUCCGCGGCCGUCCCCACCCCUAUCUCCGCGACCCCCACUCCUCCUCGGCUGUUCCCCAACCCUGUCACUGUGCUCCCCUCCCUACUCCCGGCCCGUAGUGGAGGUGACUUUCCUGCGCAGCGCCGCUUCUGAGGGCGGAGAACCCACAGGGAGUGCGACCCCUUUGCACGCUG
rnacentral:lncRNA from 1 species